UACGUAGGGGGCAAGCGUUGUCCGGAUUUAUUGGGCGUAAAGAGCGUGUAGGCGGCCAGGCGGGUCCGCUGUGAAAACUCGAGGCUCAACCUCGAGAGGUCGGUGGAAACCGUCUGGCUAGAGUCCGGAAGAGGAGAGUGGAAUUCCCGGUGUAGCGGUGAAAUGCGCAGAUAUCAGGAGGAACACCGGUGGCGAAGGCGGUUCUCUGGGCCUGUACUGACGCUGAGGAGCGAAAGCGUGGGGAGCAAACAGG
rnacentral:rRNA from 1 species